UGAAUCUAGUUUUAGGGGGUUGGAACAGCUGGAUCUGAGAGAGAGGGUAGUGGCGGGCAACUUGGGGGUGGAUGAAGACGAAAAAGGGGAGAGGGGUGCGACAGCCGACUUUCCGACAAUAUUUCACCAUCGACAGAAUAACGAGCAAAAGGGGGCGGACAGUUUUUUUUGUGGUGGUUUCACCAGGUUUUUGGGAUCUUUGAACAGAUAAUGGUU
rnacentral:lncRNA from 1 species